AAAGUCCUGAUGUGUUCGUCUUAGCACCUUAUUGUUUUGACCUACAAGUCUUACCAAAGGGAGUCUGGAGUUUCUGGACUGAAUGCAUGCCUCCAAGAGAGGACGCGUGAGGCCUGGAGCAGGACACCCACCUGCUUAGAGCAGGCUCAAAACAUAGGAUUUAUGGGGACGGCACGAUUGGGACUUUU
rnacentral:other from 1 species